AUUGGAGAGCUUGCUUUCCAUGAGAGUGGCGCACGGGUGCGUAACACGUAUGUAACCUACCUUUAUCAGGGGGAUAGCCUCUCGAAAGAGAGAUUAAGCCCGCAUAAAAUCACAUUAUGGCAUCAUGGAGUGAUCAAAUAUUUAUAGGAUAAAGAUGGGCAUGCGGAACAUUAGCUAGUUGGUAAGGUAAUGGCUUACCAAGGCUACGAUGUUUAGGGGAUCUGAGAGGAUGACCCCCCACACUGGUACUGAGACACGGACCAGACUCCUACGGGAGGCAGCAGUAAGGAAUAUUGGUCAAUGGGCGGAAGCCUGAACCAGCCAUGCCGCGUGCAGGAAGACGGCCCUACGGGUUGUAAACUGCUUUUGUACCGGAAUAAACCCUGAUUCGUGAAUCAGGCUGAAUGUACGGUAAGAAUAAGGAUCGGCUAACUCCGUGCCAGCAGCCGCGGUAAUACGGAGGAUCCAAGCGUUAUCCGGAUUUAUUGGGUUUAAAGGGUGCGUAGGUGGCUUUUUAAGUCAGGGGUGAAAGACGGUAGCUUAACUAUCGCAGUGCCUUUGAUACUGAAGAGCUUGAAUGAACUAGAGGUAGGCGGAAUGUGACAAGUAGCGGUGAAAUGCAUAGAUAUGUCACAGAACACCAAUUGCGAAGGCAGCUUACUAUGGUUUUAUUGACACUGAGGCACGAAAGCGUGGGGAUCAAACAGGAUUAGAUACCCUGGUAGUCCACGCCCUAAACGAUGAAUACUCGAUGUUGGCGAUAUACGGUCAGCGUCAAAGCGAAAGCG
rnacentral:rRNA from 1 species